rnacentral:rRNA from 1 species
AUCUGGGGAAUCGCUCGGCUCGAGUACCGAAGAAGGUCGUGACAAGCUGCGAUAAGCUCCGGGGAGAUGCAUGAAUAUCUUGGAUCCGGAGAUGGCUGAAUGGGACUUCCUGUUCUUUCGGAACAAUCGCAANAGCGAUAGGGAACCCCCCGAAUUGAAGCAUCUUAGUAGGGGGAGGAAUAGAAAUCAAUCGAGAUUCCGUGAGUAGUGGCGAAUGAAAACGGAUGAGGACAAACCGAAUCUCGACUGGAAACUGAGAGAGAUGUGGGUGAUUGUCUUUUACCUAAGUCAUAGAAGAAGAAGUUGUCUGGAAAGGCACAGCCAUAGAGGGUGAAAGUCCCGUAUUCGUAUAUGAUAUGGUCACGUGACAAUCAAAGAGUAGGGUGCGUUGGAUAUCGCGCUCGAAGAUGGGGGGCAGGAACCUCCAAUCCUAAAUAUAGCUCGAGACCGAUAGUUUACAAGUAACGUGAGUGAAAGCUGAAAAGAAUCCUUAGCGGGAUGUGAAAAGAACGUGAAACCAGAUAGGUACAGGCUGAUAGGGCGUUAAAGCGAAGAUAUGAGCAGCGUCCUAUCGUGCGUUUCGAAAAAUGCCCCAGGGAGUCUUGAUCAUUGGCGAGGUUAAGGAGUUGAUCUCCGAAGCCGAAGGGAAACCGACAUGUCCGCAGCAGUUUACUGUGAGGGACGAAGUGUGCUCGCUUGGAGUCAAUGGUGGAGGACCUGAAGCCACCCGAUCUAUGCCUGACCAGAUUGAAGCCCGGUGAAAACUGGGUGGAGGAUCGAACCGUUGCUGAUCUGCAAAUCGCUCGGACGAGUUGGGUAUAGGGGUGAAAGUCCAAUCGAGGGUGGCAAUAGCAGGUUCCGCGUGAAACUACUCGUAGGUAGACGUCUGCUGAGAUUGAUUACGCUGUAGAGCACUGAUUGUGUAUUUAGGGGAAGCGAUUCCUCGGUAUGCUGCCAAACUCCGAAGGUGUAAUCGUCGUAGACGCAGGCAGUGAGUGAUGGUGGGUAAGCUACCAUUACGUAAGGUGAACAUACCAGCCUGAAGUUAAGGUCCCUAAAUGCCGAUUAAGUGUCACAGACAAACCGUGUCCGUGGUCGAAAACAACCAGAAGGUGGGCUUAGAAGCAGCCAUCCUUGAAAGAGUUCGUAACAGAUCA